UUCAUACGGGCAGGUACUCCACUGAUCCAUAUGGAGCUUCAGGAUCCAGACCUCCGCCCCAAUUUGAUGCAGGACGAUACUCCGACGCCUCCUACGCUUUCACGAAUGACUACUAUCAAGAGGCCGGUGCUUUCUUCACUCGUACCGACAACACCCUCCUCAACAUCCAGAACACGCAAGCAGAACAUGGAAGACUCCUGGAAGAGCAACAAAAAUGAAACCAGGACCAUGCCGCUGCAGUACAAGAGCUGAGACAAGAGACAACAACAAUGAACGACAACAUCACAACCAUGAUGCGGUUCUGGAACAUCGGGUAAGACCGACAACAACAUCCAGCUUGGGGGAGUUCCUCCCCAAUUUAUCAAGUAAGUUUUUAUUUGCUCUUCUUAUUUAUUCUUUUCUAUUUUAGUAUUUUAUCUUAAAAGGAAAAACUUAGCAAACCAAAUAAAUAUUUUCUUGCUUAAAUUUACUGCAUUUUAUAAACAUGAAAACAAAAUAAAAAGAGUGCGUAGACAAGUGUGCUUUAUUUUCCUGCUAAGUUUAAUCUCUAGAAAAAAAUAAAAAGACCAAAAAGAUGUAUGAUGGAAAUGAUGAACAGUUGCUCUGUACCAAGCUUCUAUAUUAGAGUUCUUCCAGGAAUUACUGAAACUGAAAUUACUAUCUUUGGGAAGCAUAAAACUAAAGUCUAGGUAAGAGAAAGGCAUAAUAUAAAGUUUGAGCUGCUGUUUAUCUUGUUCCUACUACACUAAGUUCUAGAGAUUUAUUUUGAAAACAUACAAAUCACAUGAUGAGUUCCUAGCAUAACAAACUACCUACCACAGCCAUACUUGCUAUAACAUCUUUUACUAUAUUUACAUUGAGUUUGAUCGAGCUGUGUAGACCCUUAGGAGCUUUUCAUGUGGUUAAAUUAAGAUAUUCACUUGCACACAUCCACUACACCAUUCAUCACCAUUCAUUAAAAUUUCUAAAAAUAUUAUCACUCACUGUCCCAAGUAUUGUUAUUCUCUCUUUCCAAAAAGAUUCAAUGAAGAAGAGGCAUGGGUUAUGCAAAAAUAUGCGAGGAAAUAAAAAGGGGCAAGUGCCCGGAACCUCGAUUAAGAAAGAAAAAGAGUGAGACGAGAGGUAAAAAUGGACAAGUGUUCGAAGUAGAAUUAGGGGUACAAAGAUGCCCACUUGAGCGGAAAAAAUGGACAAGUGUCCGACAGUAGAAUUAGGGGUAUCUACUACCCACCUGAAAAAAAAGAAAAAAAAAAGAUAGCCCAUGUUCUCCCAAAGCAAAGAUCAAAGAAGAGGAGAGAUAGCAAUAUGAGGAGCAAUAAGAAUUAAGUUUUAUUAUCACUUAUAUAUCUUCACCAUCACUAUCAUUUACUCCACCACACAUGCACAUCUUCAUUUAAUUAUAUGCUGAGUUCCUUUGGAUCCAUGGCUCGAUUAGGCAACAUAUGUAUGAGCUGUUUUCACUCCUAUGAGCUCCACUUAAAUAUUCCAUUAGCUAUAGGUAAGUGACAUUUUGGUAAGGAUCCACAAAUACUACAUAUAGAGGGACUUGAGAGAAUCGUUGCUGAGAACUUUGAGUUUUAUUUUAAAAACUUAUGAAAAACUCUGGAACAAAGGUGAAGUGUAGACAGGAGGAAUAGUGUUUGACUUAAUUAUUUUGUUUUUCGAUUACUUAAGACUUAUGUGCAGGCACUAAGCUCUUUAACCCUUCACUCUAAUUUGGAAGAAUUUUUAUGUAAAAGCAUGUGUGCCUGUCACGAAAGAAAACAUCGAAGCAACUCCUGAUCCGUCUAAGUUUAGCUAUUUGCUCAGGGACGAGCAAACGGUAAGCUUGGGGGAGUUUGUUGACGGUCCUUAAGUAGUAAAAUUAAUAAUCAAAUAAACAUGGAAAAGGAUCAAUAUAAAACAAACAUCUAGAAUUAGGGUUUUAUCUGACAGAAUUCCACGAGCUUUGGUGUUUAUCUAUUUCUGCAGGGGGUUAUCAGAGAAUAUGGAGAGAAGGCCCACAUGUCAUGUUUACAACGAGAUAAUUACGUGCCGCGCAAUUUUCCUCAAUCUAGAAGAGUCCAGAAGCCACGGGAACGAACGAGAGCACGAUCGGGCUCGGGGGUAGGGCGCCCGACCACCCUCCUGGGGCGCCCGCCCUGGCCAGGAGAUGGAUCAGGACUCUGCUUCGGGGCUAAACUCCACCGACCUAAAGGAUCAAUCUAAACAAUACAAUCAAUGUCGGUUUGAUCUGACGGCCCAAAUUCACUUGAAGGGACUAUAAAACCAAGGCCUCUCCCCCCUGGAGGAGAGAGGAGAAGAGAAGAAAUCAUUAUGCAGAGGUAGCCAUUAAAGUUAGGGUUUAGAGCUUCUCUUCCGCAGAGAAUUAGAAUUAGCUACUCCCUAAUCCUUCAAGUUUAGAGGUUUGAUUAGAUAGCAAUUAGAGAAGUAGAGUGUUGACGGUCCUUAAGUACUAAAAUUAAUAAUCAAAUAAACAUGAAAAGGAUCAAUAUGAAACAAACAUCUAGAAUUAGGGUUUUAUUUGACAGAAUUCCACGAGCUUUGGUGUUUAUCUAUUUCUGCAGGGGGUUAUCAGAGAAUAUGGAGAGAAGGCCCACAUGUCAUGUUUACAACGAGAUAAUUACGUGUCGCGCAAUUUUCCACAAUCUAUAAGAGUCCAGAAGCCACGGGAACGAACGAGAGCACGAUCGGGCUCGGGGGCAGGGCGGCCGCCCACCCCCCUUGGGCGCCCGCCCAGGGUUGGAGACCAAUUGGGACUCUGCUUCGGGACUACGCUCCACCGACCUAAAGGAUCAAUCUAAACCAUACAAUCUAUGUCGGUUUGAUCUGACGGCCCAUAUUCACUUGAAAAGACUAUAUAACCAAGGCCUCUCCACCCCUGGAGGAGAUAGGAGAAGAGAAGAAAUCAUUAUGCAGAGGUAGCCAUCAAAGUUAGGGUUUAGAGCUUCUCUCCCACAGAGAAUUAGAAUUAGCUACUCCCUAAUCCUUCAAGUUUAGAGGUUUGAUUAGAUAGCAAUUAGAGAAGUAGAGCACUACGCUCUGGAUUCGGAUCUUCGGUAAUAAAGAUUGGUAUUAUUCAUAUCUUUCUCUAAUUCUUUGUUCUAAUUGCAUUAUGUCUCUAAUUAUUAUGAUCUUAGUUUGCUCUAGUUCUAUAUUUGAUAUAGUUCUAAUUGAUAAUGAGUUUAUGUAUAAGUUUGCAAAGCGCUUAGCUCUUGACGCGAGGGAGUUAGGUGAUAGAUCACAUGUGAGCGUGGUGCUUAGAUGUUAUUUAUCUGCAAAUGUUUCCUAUUGGCCGGGUCGUGUGGUAGUUCGCGAUAGUGACAGCUUCGUUGAUUCUUAUAUAGUCCACCCUCCGUUGAUAGGACAGGCAAAACCGAUAUUGUGGAGUAAGUCUUGCGAUGCUCUGAUUUACUUUAGCAAUGUUCCUUAUACAUGAAUGAAGAGUCUUUUAUGCUAUAUAUGAUCUUGUAGAUAACUAGAGUAGAUUAUGACUUAGUAGUUAGUAGAUAACUUAGAAUCCAUUCUCUAGCUAAUCCGACAUCACCUACAUAUAUGAGGAGUAGUCUAAUUUCUAAUCGCUGUGUUAUUUAUCCCUUGAACUUAUAAUUCAUUAUCAUUAUCUUUAUGGUUUACCCCCUGCUAAAGUAAGUGACUGUGUGACGAGUUUCUCAUUAGUAAUCAUGUUCUUGCAAGUUUAUCUCUAGUCUAUGCCUUGAUAGAUUUUGUCCUUAAUUUAAUUUCAUCCCUUUUGUUCUCUUAAGCAAAAUUAUAAAUAACGAUACCUGGAAUACUUAUCCUGGUGAAAUGCUACAAUGAGGUGUUUUAUCUAUGCGCUUGCGGAUAGAAUAGAUUAUUUUCUAGAGAGCCUUUACAUUUAUAAAUACCUUUGUACACUCUGGCACCAUGCUGGGGAUGACAACCUAGUAUCUAAGUGGUGUUAGCUAGUGUCAACAAGCAUUUCUGGUGCCGUUGCCGGGGAAUCUCAUGAAUAAGUCAUAAAAGGGAACAAAAGGGUAAUACUUAGGAAAGCCAGAAAAUCAGUCAAGGUUAUUCAUAUAAAAUAUUAGACUAGACUAUAGAGAAAUAAUUGCAUAAAAACAUCUACUAAGUGAGAAAUCAUAACAAGGCACCUCUGCUUUGGCAGGUUCACCGUGUUGUUUUCUAUGUUUAUAAUUUUAUACAGGGUAUAUCAGGAUUGACUUUAGGUAGAUUCAACUCUUCAUCAUCAGAACCAAAGCAAUCAAGAGAAGAAGAAGCUAGCUACCAAUAGCUGAAGCUAUGGCACAAAAGACCCUACAAGAAUUCUCUGCUCCAAGCCUUGAGAACAUUCCAACUGGUCCAAGAUUUGCAGUAGAAGAAGGAAUACCUGAGUUUGAGCUCAAGUCAAGCCUCAUCAAUUUGGUACAAGCUACACAAUUCAGUGGAAAGGCACAUAAAGAUGCCAGUGCACACUUGCAGAAUUUCUUAGAGAUUAGAAGCACAAUCCACAUCAACAGAGUUGACAAAGACGUCAUACUGCUUCGCCUUUUUCUAUUCUCACUAGAAGGAAAAGCGAGGAAGUGGUUCUACACUCAUCAAGAUAACAUCAACAACUGGACGAACUUGUCAGAUGCCUUUCUAUCAAAGUUUUUCUCUAUAGGCAAAACAACUGCCUUAAGAGGAAAUAUUGUCAGUUUCCAACAACAGAAGAUAGAAGCCAUUUCAGAAGCAUGGGAGCGUUUUCAAGGAUAUAUAUCAGAUUGUCCUCACCAUGGAAUGGCCACAUGGUUACUUAUGUAGACCUUCUACCAUGGAUUAACCCAGAAGGCUCGUGAGUGCCUAGAUGCAUGUGCUAAAGGAUCAUUCUUGGAGCUUACAAUUGGAAAAGCAGAGAUACUUUUCGAUAAGAUAGCAGAAAAUCAAAGCUGGUUCUAAGAUAAAGCUCAACAAUGUCAUCAAACUGAAGAAAUACCAGAAGAACUAAAUGCAUUAUCAACUAAAAUGGAAAAUUUGCUCCAUUGGAUUGACCAGAGGGCCAAGUUCAAAGAAGAUCAAAGGGCCAUUGAGACAGCAUACAAAUAUCAACCAACUUCGAGUCAACCCAAUAGCAAAGGUAUGAAUUCAGGUAAUACUUUCAAGAAACUUUCAUUAAAAGAGAUAAUUGCUCAACAAACCAAAAUUAAUGAUGAAGUUAAACAAAGGCUAGAUACAAAUGAAUCAUCUCUAAAAGAUAUACACAAUAAAAUGGAUUUUCUACUAACUGCCUUUGAUGAGCAAAACACUCUUACUAAAAGGGUAGAGCUUAAAUUAAUAAAGAUAGCUGCUGCACUGCCUGUUGCUACUAACAUUGAGCAGGUAAAGAACAUAACUACUAGAGGAGGAAAAGCCACCAGAGAUCCCCCAUACCCAAAAGAGAAACAAAGAACAUCAGCACCAGUGCAACCAGCAGUGAUAGAAGAAGAAUGCCCAGUUGAAGCAGAAGAUCUGCUACAACCACCAAGAACUGGAGAAAUGAGAAAAGAUUUUUAUGACACCAACUAUUUGCCAUUUCCCAGAAGAAACAGAGGACUGCAGUCGGAUGAGCAGUUUGGUAAGAUUGUAGAGGUCAUUCAGAAAUUAUAUGUCAACAUACCUCUGCUCGAUGCCAUACAGGUACCUACAUAUGCAAAGUACAUCAGAGAUAUUCUUAACAAGAAGAGACCACUGCCCACCACUGAGGUUAUCAAGCUGACAGAAGAAUUUAGUGCGGCCAUCCUCAACAAACCACCAAAGAAGAAGGAAGAUCUAGGAUGUCCCACUAUUGACUGCUCGAUCGGAAACCAACACUUCAACAAUGCACUUUGUGAUCUCGGAGCAAGUGUCAGUGUGAUGCCAGCAUUAGUCUACAAGAAGCUUGAGCAUGCGACCCUAGAACCAAAAUCAAUGUGCCUACAACUAGCGGAUCAAUCGGUUCGACACCCGUUGGGCAUCGCCGAGAACAUUCCAGUCAGGAUCAUAGAUUUCCUUGUGCCAGUAGACUUCGUCGUACUGGACAUGAGUCCUGACUCAAAAGUGUCCAUCAUCCUUGGAAGGCCAUUUCUGAGCAGUGCCAAUGCCCACAUUGAUGUCGGGAAAGGAGAAAUCAAGUUCAACAUAAACGGACAAGAAGAACACUUCACAUUUAAGCCCAGACCAGAGAGAGACUCUACAGUAAAGGAAGUUCAUGAAGAACCACUGGAGACACCAUCUCCAGAGGAAGGUAAUUCAGAAGAUUAAAAUAUUUGGAGGUCCAGCUUGGGGGACCUAAAAAUCCCAAACCCUCACCGGGAGGUAAAUCGGUAUUUAUCCGCAUUAUUAAUUUUCUCAUAUUUAAAUUCCUACAUAAUUAAUUCUUGCAUUAGUCAUAUAUAUUCAUAGCAUUAUUAUAAUAAUCAAAAGCCCCAUAUAAAUAAUAUUCAAGGUGUGUAACAACCCAUAUUUAUUAAUUAUUGUGGAGGCACAAAAAAAUAUAUUUUCCAUUAUCAUUUUAAUUUUAAAUUCUCAUAGAUUUUCCUGCAUUAUAUUUAGUUAUAGUAACCUUCUAGAAGCAUGACCCACACUCUUUGGGUCCCCACAUGUCAUACACUUCACCUCACAUACAUCCCAUCACAUAAUUUCAUCCACCAAUAUGUUUCCACUCGCCAGACAUCUUUCCACCGUCCAACCACCACCAACACAAUAUUAUUCUGCGUGAGAUCAAAGCAAGGAAGCAAGUGGAGGAGGCACACCCAGGAUGGACACCAGGGGUGGGUGCCCACCCACCUACCCAGGGCUCCCGCCCUGUCCCCUGCUCAGCUUAUAAAAGGCCACCUCGAGCUACCCUUCUCUUCACACACACAUUUCAGAAAACCUUGCAAGCUCGGUUUCCAGAGGAUAGCUCUGAGUGUGAGAAAGUUAGGAGUUCUUUUGAGUGAGAUAGUGAGUAUCACUUAGCAAGUAGUGAUCCCGUUGUCUAAGCGAAAGUAAAAGUUGUUUAGGGAGGCUCUACCAAAAUAGAAAUUUGUCUUGAACGAUUAACCCCUAGACUACUGACAUUCCGGACAGGUGACCACUAACAUUUUCUCUCACAUUUUCCACUAGUUGUGUUUUUGCCAACUUUUGUUACAAGAUGUUUAAGAAGGUGAAGAAUGCAGGGAAGGCUCUCAAGAACAUUGGUACAAAGAGUUCAUCCCGACACUCCUCACAGCCAUCAGAGAUGAGCGUCGACCCGACACCCACACAGGCUCCGUCAUCUUCAUCUGGUCAGCAAGUUAAGGUCCUUCUCAAGAUAGGAGACCUUGGACUGAAGACCCGAAGGGAGAAGGAAGUCUAUCAGCAACUGAAGAACAAAGAUUUCAUUCACACCCCUACUCUCGAUCCAAUCUUACUACAAGAAACAGGUAUGGACACUGAAUUCGACUUAAUUUUCCAGAUGAUAGGUUGGACAAAUUUUUGGAAUAUAACUGAGCUGGGUUUUCAUCUUCUCACCCUCGAAUUUCUUUGCACCUUAGAAUACUAUGAGGGGGAAUUGUUUUUCGGAUGUUCAAACAGGAGAUUAUGUUGUCUUGGAGAGAGCUGAGCGACCAUCUUGGUUUCUCUUCAAGAUGCAUCCUGAACAUUGACUCCGAUUUACCCAACUUUGAGAGACACCAGUUUUGGAGAGAAAUAUCUAGAGAUAAUUUUUAUUGUCAAGCCCGAACCAGUGACAUGGAACACCCCACUCUUAGGAUGUUCCACAAAUGGCUUGGGUACAAUCUUUUCUAUCGUGAUGAUAUUAGGAAAGUAAGAGUAGGAGAUUUACAACUUUUAUAUGCUGCUAUUAGUAAAGUACCCACUUCACCUGUUACACUAUUAGUUUCUCAUUGGCUUAGUAUACCUAGUCUUCAGGGACCAGUAGGAUGUACUUCACUUAUCACUCGUCUAGCCUUUAAUCUUCACUUACUUCACAUAUUGUUGGACUUCAUAGAUGAGUUAAGAAUUUAUCAUGGCUACGACACAUUUAGACAAGCUCGGAUGUUAAAGAAAGAGGGGAAUGUAAUGUAUAUGCUAUAUGAUGAUAAAGGCAAGAUUCGGUUACCUAACCUGAACCUUGGCCUCUAUGUUGUUCAAAACUUUUUGAUUAAGAUUGCAGCAACACCAGUGAACCAGAGAACUCCACAGCGAGUGGCAUCUGAAAGGAUGACCACUCACCGAGAACGCACCUGGUAUGGAGCUGACCCCAGACCAGAAGAAGCAGCGUACCUGCAUUAUUGCGAUUACAACCCUCGAGUCCUUCGAGACCCAUGGGUUCGUCAUGCGCAACCACAAGAGCCAACAGAGGAGACAUGGCCGGAGAGGCAAGAUCACCAGUGGACAAACCCGCCUUUUCAUACGGGUAGGUACUCCAAUGAUCCAUAUGGAGCUUCAGGAUCCAGACCUCCGCCCCAAUUUGAUGCAGGACGAUCUCCGACGCCUCCUACGCUUUCACGAAUGACUACUAUCAAGAGGCCGGUGCUUUCUUCACUCGUACCGACAACACCCUCCUCGACAUCCAGAACACGCAAGCAGAACAUGGAAGACUCCUGGAAGAGCAACAAAAAUGGAACCAGGACCAUACCACUGUAGUAGAAGAGCUGAGACAAGAUACAACAACAAUGAACGACAACAUCACAACUAUGAUGCGGUUCUGGAAUAUCGGGUAAGACCGACGUCCACAUCCAGCUUGGGGGAGUUCCUCCCCAAUUUAUCAAGUAAGUUUUUAUUUGCUCUUCUUAUUUAUUCUUUUCUAUUUUAGUUUAUUUUAUCUUAAGAAAAAAAACUUAGAAAACCCAAUAAAUAUUUUCUUGCUUUAAUUCUAUAAACAUGAAAACAAAAUAAAAAAAGUGUGUAGAUAAGUGUGCUUUAUUUUCCUGCUAAGUUUAAUCUUUAGAAAAAAUAAAAAGACCAAAAAGAUGCAUGAUGGAAAUAAUAAACAGUUUCUCUGUUUACUUAAUUUCAAGUACCUAGCUUUUAUAUUAGAGUUCUUCCAGGAAUUACUAAAACUGAAAUUAUUAUCUUUGGGAAGCAUAAAACUAAUGUCUAGGUAAGUGAAAGGCAUGAUAUAAAGUUGAGCUGCUGUUUAUCUUGUUUGUACUACACUAAGUUCUGGAGAUUUAUUUUGAAAACUUACAAAUCACAUGAUGGGUUCCUAGCAUAACAAACUACCUACCACAGCCAUACUUGCUAAAACAUCUUUUACUAUAUUUACAUUGAGUUUGAUCGAGCUGUGUAGACCCUUAGGAGCUUUUCAUGUGGUUAAAUUAAGAUAUUCACUUGCACACAUCUACCACAACAUUCAUCACCAAUCAUUAAAAUUGCUAAAAAUAUUAUCACUCACUGUCCCAAAUAUUGUUAUUUUCUCUCUCUGAAAAGAUUUAAUGCAGAAGAGGCAAGGGUUAUGCAAAAAUAUACGAGGAAAUAAAAAGAGGCAAGUGCCCAGAACCUCGAAAAAGAAAGAAAAAAGAGUGAGACGAGAGGUAAAAAUGCUUGAGCGGAAAAAAUGGACAAGUGUCCGACAGUAGAAUUAGGGGUAUCUACUACCCACCUGAAAAAAAAGAGAAAAAAAAAGAUAGCCCAUGUUCUCCCAAAGCAAAGAUCAAAGAAGAGGAGAAAUAGCAAUAUGAGGAGCAAUGAGAACUAAGUUUUAUUAUCACUUAUAUAUCUUCAUCAUCACUAUCAUUACUCCAUCACACAUGCACAUCUUGAUUUAAUUAUAUGCUGAGUUCCUUUGGAUCCGUGGCUCGAUUAGACAACAUAUGUAUGAGCUGUUUUUCACUCCUAUGAGCUCCACUUAAAUAUUCCAUUAGCUAUAGGUAAGUGAUAUUUUGGUAAGGAUCCACAAAUACCACAUAUAGAGAGAAUUGAGAGAAUCAUCGCUGGGAACUCUGAGUUUUAUUUUAAAAACUUAUGAAAAACUCUGGAACAAAAGUGAAGUAUAAAUAGGAGGAAUAGUGCUUGACUUAACUAUUUUGUCUUUCAAUUACUUAAGACUUAGGUGCAGGUUCUAAACUCCAUGACAAUUCACUCUAAUCUGGAAGAAAUUUUAUAGAAGCAUGUGUGCCAGUCAGGAAAGAAAACAUCGAAGCAACUCCUGAUCCGUCUGAGUUUAGCUGUUUGCUCAGGGACGAGCAAAGGGUAAGCUUGGGGGAGUUUGUUGACGGUCCUUAAGUACUAAAAUUAAUAAUCAAAUAAACAUGAAAAAGGAUCAAUAUGAAACAAACAUCUAGAAUUAGGGUUUUAUUUGACAGAAUUCCACGAGCUUUGGUGUUUAUCUAUUUCUAUAGGGGGUUAUCAGAGAAUAUGGAGAGAAGGCCCACAUGUCAUGUUUACAACGAGAUAAUUACGUGUCGCGCAAUUUUCCUCAAUCUAGAAGAGUCGAGAAGCCACGGGAACGAACGAGAGCACGAUCGGGCUCGGGGGCAGGGCGGCCGCCCACCCCCCUUGGGCGCCCGCCCAGGGUUGGAGACCAAUCGGGACUCUGCUUCGGGACUACGCUCCACCGACCUAAAGGAUCAAUCUAAACCAUACAAUCUAUGUCGGUUUGAUCUGACGGCCCAUAUUCACUUGAAAAGACUAUAUAACCAAGGCCUCUCCACCCCUGGAGGAGAGAGGAGAAGAGAAGAAAUCAUUAUGCAGAGGUAGCCAUCAAAGUUAGGGUUUAGAGCUUCUCUCCCAUAGAGAAUUAGAAUUAGCUACUCCCUAAUCCUUCAAGUUUAGAGGUUUGAUUAGAUAGCAAUUAGAGAAGUAGAGCACUACGCUCUGGAUUCGGAUCUUCGGUAAUAAAGAUUGGUAUUAUUCACAUCUUUCUCUAAUUCUUUGUUCUAAUUGCAUUAUGUCUCUAGUUAUUAUGAUCUUAGUUUGCUCUAGUUCUAUAUUUGAUAUAGUUCUAAUUGAUAAUGAGUUUAUGUAUAAGUUUGCAAAGCACUUAGCUCUUGACGCGAGGGAGUUAGGUGAUAGAUAACAUGUGAGCGUGGUGCUUAGAUGUUAUUUAUCUGCAAAUGUAUCCUAUUGGCCGGGUUGUGUGGUAGUUCGCGAUAGUGACAGCUUCGCUGAUUCUUAUAUAGUCCACCCUCCGUUGAUAGGACAGGCAGAACCGGUAUUGUGGAGUAAGUCUUGCGAUGCUCUGAUUUACUUUAGCAAUGUUCCUUAUACAUGAAUGAAGAGUCUUUUAUGCUAUAUAUGAUCUUGUAGAUAACUAGAGUAGAUUAUGACUUAGUAGUUAGUAGAUAACUUAGAAUCCAUUCUCUAGCUAAUCCGACAUCACCUACAUAUAUGAGGAGUAGUCUAAUUUCUAAUCGCUGUGUUAUUUAUCCCUUGAACUUAUAAUUCAUUAUCAUUAUCUUUAUGGUUUACCCCGUGCUAAAGUAAGUGACUGUGUGACAAGUUUCUCAUUAGUAAUCAUGUUCUUGCAAGUUUAUCUCUAGUCUAUGCCUUGAUAGAUUUUGUCCUUAAUUUAAUUUCAUCCCUUUUGUUCUCUUAAGCAAAAUUAUAAAUAACGAUACCUGGAAUACUUAUCCUGGUGAAAUGCUACAAUGAGGUGUUUUAUCUGUGCGCUUGCGGAUAGAAUAGAUUCUUUUCUAGAGAGCCUUUACAUUUAUAAAUACCUUUGUACACUCUGGCACCAUGCUGGGGAUGACAACCUAGUAUCUAAGUGGUGUUAGCUAGUGUCAACAUAGAGCACUACGCUCUGGAUUCGGAUCUUCGGUAAUAAAGAUUGGUAUUAUUCAUAUCUUUCUCUAAUUCUUUGUUCUAAUUGCAUUAUGUCUCUAAUUACUAUGUUCUUAGUUUGCUCUAGUUCUAUAUUUGAUAUAGUUCUAAUUGAUAAUGAGUUUAUGUAUAAGUUUGCAAAGCGCUUAGCUCUUGACGCGAGGGUGUUAGGUGAUAGAUCACAUGUGAGCGUGGUGCUUAGAUGUUAUUUAUGUGCAAAUGUAUCCUAUUGGCCGGGUUGUGUGGUAGUUCGCGAUAGUGACAGCUUCGUUGAUUCUUAUAUAGUCCACCCUCCGUUGAUAGGACAGGCAGAACCGGUAUUGUGGAGUAAGUCAUGCGAUGCUCUGAUUUACUUUAUCAAUGUUCCUUAUACAUGAAUGAAGAGUCUUUUAUGCUAUCUUGUAGAUAACUAGAGUAGAUUAUGACUUAGUAGUUAGUAGAUAACUUAGAAUCCAUUCUCUAGCUAAUCCGACAUCACCUACAUAUAUGAGGAGUAGUCUAUUUUCUAAUCGCUGUGUUAUCUACCCAUGAACUUAUAAUUCAUUAUCAUUAUCUUUAUGGUUUACCCCCUAUUUAAGUAUGUGACUGUGUGACGAGUUUCUCAUUAGUAAUCAUAUUCUUGUAAGUUUAUCUCUAGUCUAUGCCUUGAUAGAUUUUGACCUUAUUAUAAUUUUACCCCUUGUCUUCUUAAGCAAAAUUAUAAAUAACGAUACCUGGAAUACUUAUCCUAGUGAAAUGCUACAAUGAGGUGUUUUAUCUGUGCGCUUGCGGAUAGAAUAGAUUAUUUUGUAGAGAGCCUUUACAUUUAUAAAUACCUUUGUACACUCUGGCACCAUGCUGGGGAUGACAACCUAGUAUCUAAGUGGUGUUAGCUAGUGUCAACACUCCCUAGGAAGCGGGUUAAGAGACUCGCGACCUCGAGCGAAAGAGUAAAUCAUGACUCAUAGGGAAUGUGUACAAGCUCUAUUAUAUGAGCCGUGCUCAAGGUCACAAGCGGCCUUGGAACCGAUACAGAAUAAAUGAUCACUAAUGGCAAAUCAAUAAUGUUAUUGUUAAUAAUAUGCUAUUUAUGCUAUUCUAUAUUCAUUUUACUUGAUCAUGAGUUUACUUUGGAUCUUGACUACUUGAUGCUACUCAUAUGCUAAAAUUGUGACAACUAAAAGCUACAUACAGUUAAACUAGUGUCUAGCCUUUGAGCCUCAUGAACGAGAUGUACUUAUGCUUGUUUAUUUUCUUUAUUGGAUAAAAAUCUCAGAUGGGUAACAGAUGACAUGGGUAAUGACUACUACUAGUACUUCCCUGAGGAUUUCUAGACUUGUGGUCAACCAGUUGAUGUGCCUGUGAGAUGGAGCAUCUACAUGAGACUUAUCUUUUUAUUUCUGCUUCAUUUGUGUAUAGACUCUGAGAUAAUAUCGUUAUGUAAUAAACACUUGUGAUGAUACUUCCUAUAAUUUGUCAGCUUAUGUGUGAUUGAUCUCUGGGUGCACAUAAGAUAUUGCAUUUAUUUUUAUCCUUAAAAUUGGGUGUGACAAAUUGGUAUUAGAGCCGUGUUGACUGUAGGACGCAAGCCUAGAUAGAAAUGGUCAUAUUGAUUGUCUUUACUUCUCUACUCUCAUGCUUAUUGUCUUACUCUUGUUAUUUGCUAAAAUUCUUAUGCUUCUGUCUUCUUACUCUAUUAUGAAAUUAUUCCUUCUAUUCUAACUUCUUUUUGGUCUAAUUCUAUAGAUGGUUCGUGCCCACAUGACUACCCGUAUCUCAACCGGAGGAUACUACCCACCUCGUCACCAGUACGAGCCUAUGGAGUCACGUGUGGAGAGUUCGUCCGAAUAUGAAGAGACUCCACCACCCCUAAUACAAGCAUUUGAACCAGAGCUAUCACAAUUGGAGUCUGAAGCUAAAGAGGACCCCAGGAGGUCAUUCGAAUCUCUAACGAUGAAGAGGAAGAAGGUGCUAUUCCAGGUGGUGGUCAACCCCUAUCACCGCCACGAGAUGAAACUACUGAGGAUGAUGAUACCACUCCUAUGGGAUGGACUAGAAAGGUUUACCAUAAGUCGUCGUGCUACGCUCCGUCGCACCACCGACUCGUGGGGAUGUUGGAUCCCUACUUCUCUGACUGGGAUGCAACUGUGGAGUAUUCUUGCAGCGAGUACACACACCCCCUAGAGGACACUUACUGGAAGUCAAAAGUGCAUAUCUAUCCCAAGGAUGUGGAGAAAGAUGCGUACCUUAAAGACAGAGGUUACCAUCAUGAUGGACAUAGGGCUACCAUGGAGGAGAGCACGGAGGAAGCAACUUUCACAGCAUGUUUGUUCCUCCGUGAGCACCGUUUUAGUGACAUGCGGUGGGAUAUAUAUCAUUACCUACCCUGCAUAGAUCCCAAACAAGGAUGGGGAAUGCUGGACCUAGUGGAUCUAGACCCAGUUUCUUGAGUGAUGUUGCACUUCGCUCAUGAUAUGAUGGAGAAGCAUCUAAAAUUGCAAGACAUGGUGAUAGCACAAGAGAAGGCUCUCAAGAGGUGCUAUAAGGUGAUAGAUAACCAUUGGGAGAAGGAAGGACUGCCUAAGAUCUAUGAGAAGCUCGAAUAUGAACCACACCCUUAGUAUUGGAGUCCCUACUAUGUAAUAAUACGUUAGAAGCGCAAGUGAGUCGAGUCAAGUUUUUGUGUGGUGUGCACUUUGCUAUGCUUAGUAGUUUUAUUAUUGUGUUUAUGUGUGAGUUGGAUUUUUGUAAUGAGUGCUGGGACAUUAUAGGCAUGUCUACAAGUUCCAUAGUUUAGGUUAUUAAUGAUUAAGGAUUAUUGAAUAAAUAGUUGGGUUGGUAUAUUCUGUCUUUCGUGUUUUGCUUCCCAGGACCAAUUUGUCUUUACGGUAAUACUUAGAAAAAUCCACACAACCAAAAAUCAUGAAAUUUUCACUAGUAGAAAAGAGUACAACGCCGACGCCCCCUAUGAAUUUUAGUUAUCACGCGCCUAUGGUAUAAAAAGGGCGGUGCAGAACUACGAACCGUUUGUGAAGAUGCAUUUUCACAGGCGGUUUUCCUAACAAAACCGUCUGUUCAAAUCAUGGAUUUCUACAGGCGGUUGUCCUAAGGAACCGCCACUAAAAAUCAUAUUUCUACUGGCGGUUUUCCUAACAAAACCGCCAGUAGAAAUCAUGUAUUUCUACAUGCGGUUCUCCUAACAAACCGCCUGUAAAAAUCAUAUUUCUACGGGUGGUUUCUUAAGAAAGCUGCCUGUAGAAAUUAUUUGAAAUUGAAUUUUUUGAGUUUUUCAAAUGACCUUGUUUGAAAAAACUGUCAAAAUGAAAGUUGUAGAUCUCGAAAAGUUAUGAAACUUUGUAGUUGAUAAUUUUUUCAUUUGACAUCAUCUUGUCGUCGAAAACUACGUUUGAAUUUCUUAAAUUUGAAAUUAAAAUUUUGUAAAUGACCUCAGAUGGAAAAACUUUCAAUAGAAAAGUUGUAGAUCUUGAAAAGUUAUGAAACUUUGUAGUUGACAACUUUUCCAUUGUAAUCCGUUUAGGGCCUUAAAUAAGAGCAAGGUCUUAGGUUCGAAUCCCACCGGCCGCGAAACACGCAAUUUUACGUGAAAAAAUACGCGACUUAGCCAAUGGGCCUCCCUUGUAAUUAAAAUAUUUUUUUUCUAUUUUUAAAAGUCGAUUUUGUAUUUGGUCUCAGGUUCGAAUCCCACCGGCCGCGAAACACGCAAUUUUACGUGAAAAAAUGCGCGACUUAGCCAAUGGGCCUCCCUUGUAAUUAAAAUCCUUUUUUUUCUAUUUUUAAAAGUCAAAUUUGUAUUUUCUGUAAAAACAUUUCUACAGGCGAUUCACAUAACUGAACCGCCUGUAGAAAUGAAUUUCUACAGGCAGUUCUUAGUUACCGCGUGUAGAAUUGGCCCAUUUCUACUGGCCUCCACCGCAGGCGGUGCUGAAAAACGCCAGUAGAAAUAGGUUUCCAGCCACCUGUAUAGUAUGCCUUUGUACUAAUGUUUUAUGAGAUUAACUAGACUUAAGCAUCUUUCCGAUGCCUCUGGAAUCACCUUUUUUCUGAUCGGGUCCGUGAGAUACGAAUGUUGAACGUUGAAGUUUUUGUGCAGUCUGAGUUCUAGAACAGUUUCAGUUGUGGACAGUUUUUGUUUAAUUUAACGUCAAAAUCUGAAAGUGUGUUCUUAACAAAAGGUGUAGACAACUUCUUAAGCUUUCCAUCCAUGAAAAUUACGCCUCUGUUGGACUAAUGUAUCUCGAGAUAUGGUUAAUUUACUGAACUGGUGACAAUGGAACUCGCCCAGAAAUUUCCAGAACUACGAAUUUUAUCACUAUAAUUAAGUUUCUAUAACUUGGGAAAUUCUAAAGUUUUGCAUAUUUUGUUAGAUGACAGAUUCCACCAAGGGGUAGAGGACGUGGAAGGGGUGUUCCACUCAACCCGCCAGCCACACUAGAUUAGUUGCUGACAGUCCAGACGCAACUCAUGGAGGUCGUGGUGAACAAUCAACAAAAUCAACCAAUUGGAGGGGUACCACCGCGUGACAAGCGGGGCGAAUUCUUGAAGGGUCAUCCACCGGUGUUCAUGCAUGCCUCUGAUCCACUGGAGGCAGAUGACUGGCUCCAUGUAGUGGAGAAGCAACUCAACAUAACAUAGUGUGAUGACCGGCAGAAGGUGUUGUUCAUCUAGACAACUUCAGGGAGAAGCUCAAACAUGGUGGAAGUCAUUUGAGUAUGGACGUCCCCCCAAUGCUCCUGCUAUCACUUGGUAGGAGUUUAGAGAGAAUUUUAGGUCCUAUCACAUACCAGAGGGACUAAUGGAGCUGAAGGCAGAGGAGUUCUGAAAUUUGAAGCAGGGAUCUAUGACUGUUCCUGAGUACCGUGACAAGUUUGCACAGUUGUCACGCUAUGCUCCAAAUGAGGUGGCUAAUGAUGCUGAUAAACGUCUCUUUCUAAAGGAUUUGCAUGAUGGUCUCUAACUUCAGUUGAUGUCCAAUGAAUACCCCAAUAUCAGACGCUUGUGAACCGUGCUAUUGUGGUGGAUAGCAAGCGCAAGGAGAUGGAUGCUAAGAGGAAGCGGAUGCAGGGACAAGCCUCUGGAAGCAAUACCCAUCAACGCACCAACUCACAGCAGGGCUUUCAGCAAAGGUACCAGGGAGCACCUUCUUAGUGGAAUCAUGGUUAGUACCCCUAGCGCAAUCAGUUCUAUUAGCGCCCACAGAACCAACAGAAUUGGCAGCAGGGCAACCAGCAAGCACCAUGCUAGGGGACAUCGAACAACACUCCAAUGAAGACUAGUGCUCCUAACACCCCCAACAAGUGUUUCUAUUGUGGUAAAGAGGGUCACCUGUCUUAUCACUGCCCUAAAAAGCCAAACCAACAGACCCCCUAGAAGUAGAAUGGUCAUCAGAAGUCCACUCCCAAUAUCGGAAGGGUGAACCACAUGUCCUCUGAGACAGCACUGCAGGAACCCGAAGUCAUGCUUGGUACGUUCGAUGUCAACUCUAUCCCUACCUCUGUUCCUUUUUAUUCUGGAGCCUCGUAUUCUUUCAUAUCACAAGCAUUUGUUAGAACACAUAGCCUACCAUUAUGUGCCAUGAAGAAUCCCAUACUAGUAAAUUCACCGGGGGGAGUAUGCAAGCUUCUUAUCGUUGUCUCCCAAUUAGUUUAACUCUAAGGGGGGUAGAGUUCGAAAUAAGUCCCAUUGUGGGAAUGGAUUGGAUGAAGCAAUAAGAUGCUUCGAUUUAGUGUAAAGGAAAGAUAGUUGCACUAACAACACUAAAAGGUGAAAUAAUCUAUGUGGAGGUUGCAGUCUAGCCUCAACCAAUAGCUAGAGUGAACCAGCUUGAUAAUAGUGUAAGCAAGGAGGAUCUGGUUGUUGAUAAGUUUUCAGAUGUGUUCCCCGAUGAUUUGCUAGGUAUGCCACCUUACCGUGACAUUCAAUUUAUUAUUGAAUUAUUACCUGGCACUGCACCUAUAGCUAAACGUCCAUAUAGAAUGGGGGUUAAUGAAUUAGAAGAACUUAAGAAACAAAUAAUAGAGUUACAGGAGAAAGGUUUCACUUGUCCUAGCUCUUCACCUUGUGGAGCAUCGGUGAUUUUUGUCGAGAAUAAGGAUGGUACAUAGAGGAUGUGUUGACAGAAGGGAGUAACUGCGGAAAGGUAUCAUUACUGGAGAGAAUUUCAGAGCAUUAAUGAUUUUAUACUCCAAAAUUGGGGGCAUGUGUUGACAUCGUUUUUUUGACACGUAUCCGGACAAGUAGUGGAACCUAGAUCGGCAGGCGAAAAAGUGAUGGCUACUGACAAAGGGAAUUAUCGAUAGUUUAUGAUGCCGAUGAUAAAGCAACAUGAUAUGAUUGAAUCCAAAGAUGGUGGUUGAUCUCUGCCGAUGGUUGAUGCUGGCAGUUGCCGAUGCCGAUGGGGUUAAUAUGCCGAUAAUGAUGAAAGAUGGCGUGGAGUCAUAGGGAAGAUGAUGGUGGUGUGCUGAUUGCCUAAAAUAGAUAAAUGUUUUCCAUAGUUGUUAGAGUUUGUUUUGUAUACAGAUUCCGUUUAGUUUGGAAUUAGAAUCCUAGUCGUACUUGAUUGUAACUCUUUAGAUAGAGUAUAAAUAUGGACCUAGUAGCGAUGUAAGACAUAUACAGUCAAUCAAACACAAGUUUUUUACAUCUAUUUCAGCAUCUACUUUUCGACGUCUUCGUCAUCUCGCAUAUUUUCUUUUUACUUACGAGUUCUUAGGAAUUCAUCGAGUCAAACUCGGCGAGUUCUCAAGUUCCACAUGAAUACCUCUUGGCCGUGGCAUCUGGGCGUAUCGCUGUUGUCGGGACCAAAGUAUUCGAGUUAUCACCUUUGUCGGUUGUAAGGUCAAAUCGGCUGGCACGCCUUAACAUUGAAUCAGGUAUUAGCCCUUUGUGUUUGCAGAUCUACUUUUGCAUCAACACAUCUUUUGGCACGCCGGGUGGGACCGAGAUAUCGUCGAGAUCAACAUGUCAAAUACUAAUUUCGACACAGAGAACAUCAUUGUUGUAACUAAGGCUAAUCUCAGAGAUGAGCAGAAGCAAGCUGUGGCAAAAGCUAUGGAGGAAUACAAGCAGCUAUGUUUGAAGUCCUUCAGUGUCGACAGGAGCAGCGAGGUGAUCCAAAAUGAAGCAUUGUCGAUGCCUCGGCAAAUCACUUUUGAAGCCAAUCCUGGUAAAUUGCAAGAGAUGGUUGGUAAUGCUAUUAAUCGUGCUUUAAUCAAUCAAUCCAGUGUGCUGUCCAAUACUGUUUUCAAUGCUGUGGCUAAAACCUUCAAAGAAGGACAGAUACCACCAUCUUAUGUGGGCCUGGCCUAUCAUCAGCCAGGAUAAUCAUGGGUUACGGCUCCAUCGGCUCCUUCAGCCGUUGCCGGUAUAGAAGUUACACUUCUCCUCCAAGCACAUUAGGGAUGACUAAUGGGGAAUCUACAUCGAUGAGGACUAAUCCAGCAACAUCAGAGGGACAAGUUCAACUUGCCACAGAUCUAUUGGCAUCGGCAAUGUCAGGGUUUGUAUUCCAAAAUUGUCAAGUUCCUCCCAACUGGUGGGGAUAUGGUAUGCCUCUAGAAUUUUUCGCAAAUAGUUCUAGAACAUCUCAAGUGGCUGACGUGACAGGCAAGGCUCCUAUGAAAUCGGCACCUCCGGUAUCGCCGAUGGCUCAAAAUCCUCAAUAUUCCACAACUACUACUGUGAGGCCUCUUACUGGAAAUUUUCAGAUGCCAACGUUCCAGAUGCCCAAUGCAUCGGCAGAUCCAUUGCCGACGCACCAAAGGUUUAUGACUCAGACAGGGUAUGUUAACCCAAUGAUGACACUCAAUUAUCAGCCAUCGGCUAGGCCUAUGCCGAUGAUCAAUGGAUGGACAUGACAGUUUGUCUUUCCACAAAUAGCUCAGCAGAAUCAUCAGGCUACGGGAUUCCAGCAAGGACAGAUGCAGCGUGGUUUUCAGAAUCAAGGACCAAUCCAUCAGCCAAUGAAUCUUGCUCAGCAGAUCGGUGGCCAACAAGCUGUGGCUAAUGCUAUGUUCCCUGGAGAUCAUGCACCUCAAAGGCAGGUGCCAGAACUGUUGUGUAUUCUUAACAUCAUUACCAAAAGUAGACUUAGUUUUCUAAUUCUGAUAACGGUGCCAAAAAUACCAAACCUAUCCCUCAUACCACUUAAGCCAAGUUGUCAUCCCUAGCAUGAGAUGAGAGACGCGGUAUUGAAAUAUGCAAUUGUUCUUCUAAAUAAAUAAUGAAUGGGAUCUGCAAGCGCACAGAUUAAUACCGAUGUAGCAUUUUAACUAGAAAGUAUUCCAGGUAUCGUUAUUUAUAUUUUUACCACUAGGAAGGGAUUAGCAAUCAUCAAUCUUGAUUAUAGAAUAGAAUAUGAGAUUGAGUAUCUAUCAUUGCAUGUAUAAUUGAGAACAUUUAUCUAACUCUUUCAUACAGGGAUAAGUGUCACAUAAAAGAUAUAUGAAGUAAUGAAUAGCGACAAAGAUAAUUAAUCUGAUCAGCAUAACUUAGCCACAUAAUAAAUAUGAUAAGCACCUCAAUUAGAUGCUCUAGAAAGUCAUUAGCAUGGUAUUAGAACGAACUACAAGAAUGUUUCCUAAGUUGUUCUCAACUAUAUAGUCUGCAUUAUCAUAGUUAGUGCAAGCAUACUUAGCAAUCAUUGUGAGACAAGACUACGUCCAUGCAUAGUGAUAUUAGCAAGGUAAAUGAGAAACAUAGCAAUCACUCCCCUGUAAUAAUGUUGCUCUGCCAGCCCAAUACACGAGAGGGGGACUAUAUAAGAAUCAAUGAAGCUGUCACUAUCACGAACUACCCCACGAUCUGGCAUAUUGGGUACAAUCGCAGGUAAAUACGAUAUAGGCACCACGCCUACAUAAUAUCUAUCAUUUACCCAUGGAUCCGAUGGAUAAACGCUAUACGAUCCUAAACAUGUUUAUAGAUCCAAUCUAACUAAGCCAAGUAUAUAACUAUGAUAAACUAAGAACAAUAUAAUCUUGAAUAUAAACAAGUAGAGCAAAGUCAUAAGCAAUAUAUUAAAGUAGAACAAAGUUAUAUUCAUAAUAUUGAAGAACAAAGAUGAUUAGAAGAACAAUUAGAAGCACAAUUAGAGAAUUACCAAGAAUCCUCUUGACAAAUCCGGAAACCAAUCGAAUAUUGACUCCUUCUAAUUCUAAUUCUAUGUAGCUAUACUAAUCUAGAUGUCUAAUUGAUGUGGUGGCUCUAGGCUUGAUCAGAGGCUUCUUCUCCCUUGAGAAUAAUGAAUUAGUGUUGAGAGGCUUUCUCCUCCAGGGGCCAGGGUGUCUGGUUUUAUAGUCCCUUCAAGUGAAUAUGGGCCGUUGGAUCAAACCGACAUUGAUUGAACGGUUAUCCUUGAUCCUUUAGGUCGGUGGAGAUCUUUCCCGAAAGAGUGUCCUGAUUGGACUCAGAGACGGGGCGGGCGCCCAGGUCAACUGGGCGGGCGCCCAGUGCCUGGCCCCAUUCGGCCUCCGCUUCCUUCCCGUGGCUUCUGGAGUCUUCUAGAUGUAAGAUAAUUGCGCGGCACGUUGAUAUCUCUAUGUAAUCCCGAUGUGUGGGCCUUUCUUCCUUAUUUCCUGAUAACCCCCUGUAGAAAUAGACAAACACCAAAACUCAUGGAAUUCUGUCAGAUAAAACCCUAAGUCUGGAUGUUGAUUUCAUUUGGAUCUUUUUCUUUGUUUAUUUGAUAAUUAAAUUUGGUACUUAAGGACCGUCAACAAGAACCUCAACCUAUACAUCGGCAGGAUGCCGAUGCCUAUUGGGCCGAUAAGAUAGCAGAAGUUAUGAGGGAUCAGUUUGGGAUAAAACCCAAGGUCAAUACUUAUUCUUAUCGGACACCAUACCCUCCUGCAUAUGAUUUGAUUCCACUCCCAAAUCGGUACAAAGUGCCAGAUUUCACUAAAUUCUCUAGGCAAGAUGAUACAUCUACUAUGGAGCAUGUCAAUAGGUUCAUCAUCCAGUGUGGAGAUGCUGCUAAUAGAGAGGAGUUAAGAGUUCACUUAUUCUCAACAUCUUUGUAUGGAUCGGCCUUUACUUGGUUCAUUUCAUUGCCUCCAAACUCAGUAAUUACUUGGGCCGAUUUGGAGAAGCCGUUCCACAAAUACUUCUUUUCUGGAGUUCAUAAGAAGAAGAUUACCGAUUCAGUUAGACUGAGGCAACAUAAUGAUGAAUCUGUUGAAAGUUUCGUGCAAAGGUUGCGGGAUGUCAAGAAUAAAUACUAUAGUGUGGUUCUGGAUGAUCGGCAGCUAUCCGAUUUAGCUUUCUAAGGGUUGUUGCCACACAUUAAAGACAAAUAUGCCUCUCAAGAAUUUGAAAGUCUAAGUCAUCUGGUGCAGAGAAUUUCUGAUCAAGCUAUCAAAGCUUUUGAACCUAAGAGAGCAUGGAACAAAAAGGUGUCGUUUGUUGAUGAGGUGAAAAGCUCAGAUUCUGAUGAAGAACUAGUCAUCGGCUUAGCAGAAUGGGUAAAAAGCAAAAAGCCAAUGUCUUGUCCUUUUGGCCAUAAAGAGCCAGAAAAGUUCGCUCUUGAUAUCACAAAAGCCGAUAGGAUAUUUGACUUUCUGCUUCAGGAGGGGCAAAUUCAAUUGUCACCCAAUCAUGUGAUUCCAUUGGCAGAAGAGUUGAAGAAGAUCAAGUAUUGUAAAUGGCAUAAUGCAACGUCUCAUAGUACAAAUGAAUGCAAGGUGUUCAGACAACAGCUACAAUCGGCUAUAGAGUCUAGGAGGAUUAAAUUUGAUAGCUCCAAAGCUCAAAAGACCAUGAAAAUUGAUCAGCAUCCUUUCCCUACAAAUAUGCUGGAUGCUACGGGGAAGACCAAAUUCUUGACAUCGGAGGCAGCUGAGAAGAACGCAUCGGUGGACCCCCAGCAUCAGAUUAUUGCCGAUGACGCCAAAGAUAAAGGAUUAAUCUAGGAGGGCACUAGUUCGGGGAGACCUCCUCGAUCCGGCAUUGUGAUCACUCAUAGGCACCAUCGGGAGACAUGGCAACAGCGUGAAGAUCGGUAUCGCCGCCAGCAAGAGGAUCGUCGCCGAGAAGAGGAAAGGCGUCGACAAGAGUGGAAUCGGCACAAAGACCAUUGGAAUUGCCCCUUCUUCAUUCACUGUUGGGAGCAAAACAUCAAGUUACCAACUAUUAGAGACUGCCCGGAGUGCAAUGGCUAUAAUCAGCAUGACAGACAAAAUCGGCGAUAUCAAGACGAUGAUCGACGUUUUAAUGGGCCGAUUAGAGGAAGGACAUUAGUUCAUGAUCGGCUACGGGGCAGGCUCAGUGUGCAUGACAAGCUUGGUGAACGUGUCGGUUAUUUUCCCAGGAACCAAGAGGAACUUGACGAGAUGGUGGAUGCACGAGUUCCCGAUGAGUUCAUAUUUUGUAGUGAUGCUAAUACUUAUCGGAUGGAAUUAAGGGAGGCUCGACAUCAAUUGGUAAGGCGAACACAACUUCCUCCAUGGUGUCUAUUGACGGUCCUUAAGUAUCAAAUUUAAUUAUCAAAUAAAUAAAGAAAAGGAUCCAAAUGAAAUCAAGAUCUAGACUUAGGGUUUUAUCUGACAGAAUUCCACGAGUUUUGGUGUUUGUCUAUUUCUGCAGGGAGUUAUCAGGAAAUAUGGAAGAAAGGCCCACAUGUCAGGAUUACGUCAAGAUAUUAACGUGCUGCGCAAUUAUCUUACAUCUAGAAGACUCCAGAAGCCACGAGACCGAAGCGGAGGCGAAUCGGGGCCACAGACAGGGCGCCCGCCCUGUCCAACUGGGCGCCCGCCCUGCCCCUAAGUCCAAUCAGGACUCUGCUUUGCGGGAAGUCUCCACCGACCUAAAGGAUGAAUCUAAACCAUACAAUCUAUGUCGGUUUGAUCCAAGGGCCCAUAUUCACUUAAAGGGACUAUAAAACCAGACCCCCUGGCCCCUGCAGGAGAGAGCCUCUCAACCCUAAUUCAUUGUUCCAUCAAGGGAGAAAUAGCCUCUGAUCAAUAUUAGAGCCACCACAUCAAUUAGAUAUCUAGAUUAGCAUAGCUACAUAGGAUUAGAACUAGAAGGAGUCAAUCUUCGAUUGGUUUCCGGAUCUGUCAGGAGGAUUCUUGGUAAUUCUCUAAUUGUGCUUCUAAUUGCUUUCUAAUUAUCUUUGUUCUUCAAUAUUAUGAAUAUGACUUUGUUCUACUUCAAUAUAUUGCUUAUGACUUUGCUCUAUUUGCUUAUAUUCAAGAUUAUAUUGUUCUUAGUUUAUCAUAGUUAUGUACUUGGCUUAGUUAGAUACGAUCUAUAUACAUGCUUAGGAUCGUAUAGCGUUUAUCCAUCGGAUCCAUGGGUAAAUGACAGAUAUUGUGUAGGCGUGGUGCUUAUACCGUAUUUAUCUGCGAUUGUACCCAAUAUGCCAGAUCGUGGGGUAGUUCGUGAUAGUGACAGCUUCAUUGAUUCUUAUAUAGUCCCCCUCUCGUGUAUUGGGCUGGCAGAGCAACAUUAUUACAGGGGAGUGAUUGCUAUGUUUCUCAUAUUCCUUGCUAAUAUCACUAUGCAUGGGCGUAGUCUUGUCUCGCAAUGAUUGCUAAGUAUGCUUGCACUAACUAUGAUAUGCUAGACUAUAUAGUUAAGAAUAACUUAGGGAAUAUUCUUGUAGUUCGUUCUAAUACCAUGCUAAUGACUUUCUAGAGUAUCUAAUUGAGGUGCUUAUCAUAUUUAUUAUGUGGCUAGAUCAGAUUAGUUAUCCUUGUCACUAUUAUCAUUUCAUAUAUCUAUUAUGUGACAUUUAUCCCUGUAUGAAGAGUUAGAUAUAAUGUUCUCAAUUAUACAUGCAAUGAUAGAUGCUCAAUCUCAUAUUCUAUUCUGUAAUCAAUAGUGAUGAUUGACUAAUCCCUUCCCAGUGGUAAAAAUAUAAAUAACGAUACUUGGAAUACUUCCCGGUUAAAAUGCUACAUCGGUAUUAAUCUGUGCGCUUGCAGAUCCCAUUCAUUAUUUAUUUAGAAGAGCAAUUGCAUAUUUCAAUACCGCGUCUCUCAUGUCAUGCUGGGGAUGACAACUUGGCUUAAGUGGUGUGAGGGAUAGGUUUGGCAUUUUUGGCACCGUUGCUAGAUUUAGAACUUAGUCUACUUUUGGUAAUGAUGUUAAGAAUACCCAACAGUGUCUAGAAGGGUUGACAAGGACACAGAAGAGGAGAAUGCAGCGAGAACGACAAGAAGAACUGAGCAGGGAAGAAAAUUCUGCUAAGUCUGGAGAUCGGCAGCAGUCGGGUCACAAGGGAAAAGGGCCAUCGGCAGAUGUUAAGAUGGUAUUUAUAUUGUCGAUGGAGUUUCUUGCACCUUUCAAUGAUAAUGAGGAGAUAGAUUUCCCUGAUCAGAUAGCUCAGUUAGCUCUUGACCCAAUGACGGCUAUCUUUGAAAAGCCCGCUGACGAUGAAAGACAACAUCUUAAAGCUUUAUUUGUCAAGGGCAGGGUUGAUGGGCAGCCGAUGACCAAGAUACUUAUUGUUGGUGGAGCUGCUAUCAACAUUAUGCUAUAUGCAGUCUAUCGGAAGCUUGGCAAAGGGGAUCAGGAUUUGACCAAGACCGAUAUGAUGUUGAAAGAUUUUGAGGGAAACGUGUCUCCAGUCAAGGGAGCCAUAUGUGUUGAGUUGACCAUCGGCAGCAAAACCUUGCCGACGAUUUUUUUUGUCAUUAGUGGAAAGGGUGCCUACAAUUUGCUAUUGGGGAGAGACUGGAUUCAUGCCAAUUGUUGUAUUCCCUCUACAAUGCACCAGUGCUUGGUUCAAUGGGUAGGUGACAAGAUUGAAAUUGUCCUAGGAGAUUCGUCAUAUGUCAUCGCAUCUACAGAGGCAGAUACUUAUGAGAGGACUAGAUGCAUUUCAGGAGAAGUUUGGGAGAAGGAUUUUCUCAAAGUUGCCGAUAAUGAAAUUCCACCGAUCCAAGCAGUCGGUUCUGAUGAAGGGUUUUGAUGGAUAGGUUCACCGAUGAUGGAAAAAUAGGUCAGGGGUUUACAUCGACCGAUGAUUUAGUAGAAGUAGAUAUAGGUAAUGGUGAUAAGCCAAGGCCUACUUUUAUUAGCGCUAAGUUGGAUUCUGAGUGUAAGCAACAAUUAACCGAUUUGUUAAAGGAAUAUAAAGAUUGCUUUGCUUGGGAUUAUACCAAGAUGUCUGGUUUAGACCGAUCAAUCGUUGAAUAUCGGUUGCCUAUCAAGUCUGGGUUUCGGCCGUAUCAGUAGCCAGCACGCUGAUGCAAUCCUAAUAUUCUUCCUAAUAUUAAGGCCGAAAUAACUAAACUUAUUGAGGCUAAAUUUAUUUGGCAGUGUCGGUAUGCCGAAUAGAUUUCCAAUGUUGUCCCCGUUUACAUGAAAAAUGGGAAGCUUCAUGUCUGCAUUGACUUUAGAAACCUCAAUAAGGCUACACCGAUGGAUGGUUAUCCAAUGCCAAUUGCUGUUGAUGGUUCUUAUGUAUCAAUUUUAAUUAUCAAAUAAACAAGGGAAAGGACCAAUAUACAAACAACACCUAGAAUUAGGGUUUGAUCUGACAGAAUUCCAUGAAUUUUAUUGUUUAUCUGUUUCAGCAGGGGGUUAUCAGGAAAUAAGGAAGAAAGGCACACAUGUCAGAAUUACAUAGAGAUAUUAACGUGCCACACAAAUAAGGAAGAAAGGCCCACUUGUCGGAAUUACAUAGAGAUAUUAACGUGCCGCUCAAUUUUCUAUCAUCUAGAAGAAUCCAGAAGCCACGGGAACGAACGGGAAGGCGAUCGGGCCCGGGGGCAGGGCGCCCGCCCUACCCCCCUGGGCGCCCGCCCACUUCCUGUAGCCAAUCACGGUGAAUCUCGCGGAUCAUGCUCCACCGACUGUUGACGGUCCUUAAUGCUCACAUUUAAAUGUCAACUAAUCAAGAAAAAGGAUCCAAAUGCAACCAACACCUAGACUUAGAGUUUCAUUUGACAGAUUUCCACGAGUUUUGGUGUUUGUCUAUUUCUGCAGGGGGUUAUCAGGAAAUACGAAGGAAAGGCCCACACGUCGGGUUUACAUAGAGAUAUUAACGUGCCACGCAAUUUUCUAUCAUCUAGAAGACUCCAGAAGCCACGGGAACGAACGAGAGGCUGAACGGGCCCGGGGGUAGGGCGCCCGCCCUUCCCCCUUGGGCGCCCACCCUGGUACAAGAACCAAUCACAGAAUGGAGUACACCAUUACAAAGAUCUCGUCGAGCUGAUCGAAAUGCAUAUAUUAUUUGCUAUAUUUGGAGUUCAGAAUCAAGAGAUAUUAAUAAAAGGACUCCACAUAAAAGAGCUGCGGGAUUAAUUGGGCCCAAAUCAGAUUUUGGUCCAUUAAGGCCUAUGUGCAUUUUAAUGAGAUAUAGUGGAAAGUUUAGUACCACAUCGCCUGCUGAACCAAAAAGGCACGAAAGGAGGUGGCUAUAUAAGCAAGGCCCCUAGCCUCUAGAGGAGAACAUAUCAUUAUAGAGUUGAGAGGUGCCCUCGAAAGAUAACCUUUCCUCUAUAGAGAAUAAGGGCUAGACGUUCCAAUAUAGUAGAUUAGUGUUGACGGUCCUUAAGUACUAAAAUUAAUAAUCAAAUAAACAUGAAAAAGGAUCAAUAUAAAACAAACAUCUAGAAUUAGGGUUUUAUCUAACAGAAUUCCACGAGUUUUGGUGUUUAUCUAUUUUUGCAGGGGUUUAACAGAAAAUAUGGAGAGAAGGCCCACAUGUCAUGUUUACAACGAGAUAAUUAUGUGCCGCGCAAUUUUCCUCCAUCUAGAAGGAUCCAGAAGCCACGAGAACGAACGGGACGCGAUUCGGGCUCGGGAGCUGGGCGGCCGCCCACCCCCCUUGGGCGCCCGCCCUGGCCAGGAAGCCAAUCAGGACUCUGCUUCGGGACAACGCUCCACCGACCUAAAGGAUCAAUCUAAACCAUACAAUCUAUGUCGGUUUGAUCCAAUGGCUCACGUUCACUUGAGGGGACUAUAAAACCAGACCCCCUGGCCCCUGGAGGAAGAGAGGAGAAAUCAUUAUUCAGAGGUAGCCAUCAAAGUUAGGGUUUAGAGCUUCUCUCCCACAGAGAAUUAGAAUUAGCUACUCCCUAAUCCUUCAAGUUUAGAGGUUGAUUAGAUAGCAAUUAGAGAAGUAGAGCACUACGCUCUGGAUUCGGAUCUUCGGUAAUAAAGAUUGGUAUUAUUCAUAUCUUUCUCUAAUUCUAUUGUUCUAAUUGCAUUAUGUCUCUAAUUAUUAUGCUCUUAGUUUGCUCUAGUUCUAUAUUUGAUAUAGUUCUAAUUGAUAAUGAGUUUAUGUAUAAGUUUGCAAAGCGCUUAGCUCUUGUCGCGAGGGAGUUAGGUGAUAGAUCACAUGUGAGCGUGGUGCUUAGAUGUUAUUUAUCUGCAAAUGUAUCCUAUUGGCCGGGUCGUGUGGUAGUUCGCGAUAGUGACAGCUUCGUUGAUUCUUAUAUAGUCCACCCUCCGUUGAUAGGACAGGCAGAACCGGUAUUGUGGAGUAAGUCAUGCGAUGUUCUGAUUUACUUUAUCAAUGUUCCUUAUACAUGAAUGAAGAGUCUUUUAUGCUAUAUAUGAUCUUGUAGAUAACUAGAGUAGAUUAUGACUUAGUAGUUAGUAGAUAACUUAGAAUCCAUUCUCUAGCUAAUCCGACAUCACCUACAUAUAUGAGGAGUAGUCUAUUUUCUAAUCGCUGUGUCAUCUACCCAUGAACUUAUACUUUAUUAUCAUUAUCUUUUUGGUUUAUCCCCUGCUUAAGUAUGUGACUGUGUGACGAGUUUCUUAUUAGUAAUCAUGUUCUUGCAAGUUUAUCUCUAGUCUAUGCCUUGAUAGAUUUUGUCCCUUGAUUUAAUUCCAUCUUCUUUAGAUCCCUUGAGCAAAAUUAUAAAUAACGAUACCUGGAAUACUUAUCCUGGUGAAAUGCUACAAUGAGGUGUUUUAUCUGUGUGCUUGCGGAUAGAAUAGAUUAUUUUCUAGAGAGCCUUUACAUUUAUAAAUACCUUUGUACACUCUGGCGCCAUGCUAGGGAUGACAACCUAGUAUCUAAGUGGUGUUAGCUAGUGUCAACAAGCAUUUCUGGCGCCGUUGCCGGGGAAUUAUAGGAAUUUAUAGGAUCUUAUAGGAAUUAUAUGAGUCUCAGGAAUAAGUCAUAAAAGGGAACAAAAGGGUAAUAUUAAGGAAAGCCAGAAAAUCAAUCAAGGUUAUUCACAGAAAAUAUUAGACUAGACUAUAGAGAAAUAAUUGCAUAAAAACAGCUACUAAGUGAGAAAUCAUAACAAGGCACCGCUGCUUUGGCAGGUUCACCCUGUUGUUUUUCUAUGUUUAUAUUUUUAUACAGGGUAUAACAGGAUUGACUUUGGGUACAUUCAACUCUUCAUCAUCAGAACCAAAGCAAUCAAAAGAAGAAGAAGCUAGCUACCAAUUGCUGAAGCUAUGGCACAAAAGACCUUGCAAGAAUUCUCUGCUCCAAGUCUUGACAACAUUCCAACUGGUCCAAGAUUUGCAGUAGAAGAAGGAAUACCUGAGUUUGAGCUCAAGUCAAGCCUCAUCAAUUUGGUACAAGCUACACAAUUCAGUGGAAAGGCACAUGAAGAUGCCAGUGCACACUUGCAGAAUUUCUUAGAGAUUGGAAGCACAAUCCACAUCAACGGAGUUGACAAAGACGUCAUACUACUUCGCCUUUUUCCAUUCUCACUAGAAGGGAAAGCGAGGAAGUGGUUCUACACUCAUCAAGAUAGCAUCAACAACUGGACGAACUUGUCAGAUGCCUUUCUAUCAAAGUUUUUCCCUAUAGGCAAAACAACUGCCUUAAGAGGAAAUAUUGUCAGUUUCCAACAGCAGAAGACAGAAGCCAUUUUAGAAGCAUGGGAGCGUUUUCAAGGAUACAUAUCAGAUUGUCCUCACCAUGGAAUGGCCACAUGGUUACUUAUGCAGACCUUCUACCAUGGAUUAACCCAGAAGACUCGUGAGUGCCUAGAUGCAUCUGCUAAAGGAUCAUUCUUGGAGCUUACAACUGGAAAAGCAGAGAUACUUUUGGAUAAGAUAGCAGAAAACCAAAGCUGGUUCCAAGAUAAAGCCCAACAAUGUCAUCAAACUGAAGAAAUACCAGAAGAAGUAAAUGCAUUAUCAACUAAGAUGGAAAAAUUGCUCCAUUGGAUUGACCAGAGGGCCAAGUUCAAAGAAGAUCAAAGGGCCAUUGAGACAGCAUACAAAUAUCAGCCAACUUCGAGUCAACCCAAUAGCAAAGGUAUGAAUUCAGGUAAUACUGUCAAACAACUUUCAUUAAAAGAGAUAAUUGCUCAACAAACCAAAAUUAAUGAUGAAGUUAAACAAAGGCUAGAUACAAAUGAAUCAUCUCUAAAAGAUAUACACAAUAAAAUGGAUUUUCUACUAACUGCCUUUGAUGAGCAGAACACUCUUAAUAAAAGGGUAGAGCUUAAAUUAAUAAAGUUAGCUGCUGCACUGCCUGUUGCUACUAACAUUGAGCAGGUAAAGAAUAUAACUACUAGAGGAGGUAAAGCUACCAGAGAUCCACCAUACCCAAAAGAGAAACAAAGAACAUCAGCACCAGUGCAACCAGCAGUGAUAGAAGAAGAAAGCCCAGUUGAAGCAGAAGAUCUGCUCCAACCACCAAGAACUAGAGAAAUGAGGAAAGAUUUUUACAACACCAACUAUUUGCCAUUUCCCAUAAGAAACAGAGGACUGCAGUCGGAUGAGCAGUUUGGUAAGUUUGUAGAGGUCAUUCAGAAAUUAUAUGUCAACAUACCUCUGCUCGAUGCCAUACAGGUACCUACAUAUGCAAAGUACAUCAGAGAUAUUCUUAACAAGAAGAGACCACUGCCCACCACUGAGGUUAUCAAGCUGACAGAAGGAUGUAGUGCGGUCAUCCUCAACAAACCACCAAAGAAAAAGGAAGAUCCAGGAUGCCCCACUAUUGAUUGCUCGAUCGGAAACCAACACUUCAACAAUGCACUUUGUGAUCUUGGAGCAAGUGUCAGUGUGAUGCCAGCAUCAGUCUACAAAAAGCUUGAGCAUGCAACCUUAGAACCAACAUCAAUGUGUCUACAACUAGCGGAUCAAUCGGUUCGACACCCGUUGGGCAUCGCUGAGAACAUUCCAGUCAAGAUCAGAGAUUUCCUUGUGCCAGUAGACUUCGUAGUACUGGACAUGAGUCCUGACUCGAAAGUAUCCAUCAUCCUUGGAAGGCCAUUUCUGAGCACUGCCAAUGCCCACAUUGAUGUCGGGAAGGGAGAAAUCAAGUUCAACAUAAACGGUCAAGAAGAACACUUCACAUUCAAACCCAGACCAGAGAGAGACUCUACAGUGAAGGAAGUUCAUGAAGAACCACUGGAGACACCAUCUCCGGAGGAAGGAAACUCAGAAGAUUACAAGAAUUAGAGGUCCAGCUUGGGGGACCUAAAAAUCCAACACCCUCACCGGGAGGUAAAUCGGUAUUUACCCGCAUUAUUAAUUUUCUCGUAUUUAAAUUCUUGCAUAAUUAAGUCUUGCAUUAGUCAUAUAUAUUCAUAGCAAUAUUAUAAUAAUCAAAAAGCCCCAUAUAAAUAAUAUUCGUGGUGUGUAACAACCCAUAUUUAUUAAUUAUUGUGGAGGCACAAAAAUAUUUUCCAAUAUCAUUUUCAAUAAGUUUCGAUUCUCAUAGGUCUUCAUGCAUUAUAUUUAAUCAUAUAAAUCUUCUAGAAGCAUGACCCACACUCUUUGGGUCCCACAUGUCAUACACUUCACCUCACAUACAUCCCAUCACAUAAUUUCAUCCACCAAUAUGUUUCCACUCAUCUUUCCACCGUCCAACCACCACUAACACAAUAUUAUUCUGCGUGAGAUCAAAGCAAGGAAGCAAGUGGAGGAGGCACACCUAGGAUGGACACCAGGGGUGGGCGCCCGCCCACUUACCUUGGGCGCCCGCCCUGUCCCCUGCUCAGCCUAUAAAAGGCCACCUCCAGCUUCCCUUCUCUCCACGCAAGCACUCCAGAAAACCACACAAAUCUCAGUUUCCCGAGAAGGAGCUUUUGUAGUGAAGAGAAGAGAGUAGAGAGAAAGAGGAGAGUGGAAGGGAAGGUUGGAGUUCUUUUGAGAAAGUGAUUGUCACUUAGCAAAUAGUGAUCCCGCUGUCCAAGCGGAAGUAAAAGUUGUUUAGGGGAAGGCUCUACCAAGAUAGAAACUUGUCUUGAACAAUUAACCCCUUGACUUCUGACACUCCGGACAGCUAACCACUAACAUUUUAUCUCACAUUUUCCACCAGUUGUGUUUUUUGCCAACUUUUGUUUGCAGGAUGUUUAAGAAGGUGAAGAAUGCAGGGAAGGCUCUCAAGAACAUUGGUACAAGGAGUUCAACCCGACACUCCUCACAGCCAUCAGAGAUGAGCAUCGAUCCGACACCCACACAAGCUCCAUCAUCUUCAUCAGGCCAGCAAGUCAAGGUCCUUCUCAAGAUAGGAGACCUAGGACUGAAGACCCGAAGAGAGAAGGAAGUCUAUCAGCAAUUGAAGAACAAAGAUUUCAUUCACACCCCUACUAUCGAUCCAAUCCUACUACGAGAAACAGGUAUGGACACUGAAUUUGACUUAAUUUUUCAAAUGAUGGGUUGGACAAAUUUUUGGAAUAUAACUGAGCUGGGUUCUCGUCUUCUCACCCUCGAAUUUCUUUGCACUUUACAAUACUAUGAGGGGGGAAUUGCUUUUCGGAUGUUUAAACAGGAAAUUAUGUUAUCUUGGAGAGAGCUGAGCGACCAUCUUGGUUUCUCUUCAAGAUGCAUCCUGAACAUUGACUCCGAUUUACCCAAUGUUGAGAGACACCAGUUUUGGAGAGAAAUAUCUAGAGAUAAUUUUUAUAGUCAAGCCCGAACCAGUGACAUGGAACACCCCACUCUUAGGAUGUUUCAGAAAUGGCUUGGGUACAAUCUUUUCUAUCGCGGUGAUAUUAGGAAAGUAAGAGUAGGAGAUUUACAACUUUUAUAUGCUGCUAUUAGUAAAGUGCCCACUUCACCUGUUACACUAUUAGUUUCACAUUGGCUUAGUAUACCUAGUCUUCAGGGACCAGUAGGAUGUACUUCACUUAUCACUCGUCUAGCCACUAAUCUUCACUUACUAGAAAACUCAUCGUUGGACUUCAUAGAAGAAUUAAGAAUUUAUCAUGGCUAUGACACAUUUAGACAAGCUCGGAUGUUAAAGAAAGAGGGGAAUAUAAUAUAUAUGCUAUAUGAUGAUAAAGGCAAGAUUCGGUUACCUAACCCGAACCUUGGCCUCUACUCUGUGCAAAACUUUUUGAUUGAGAUUACAGCAACACCAGUGAACCAGAGAACUCCACAGCGAGUGGGAUCUAAAAGGAUAACCACUCACCGAGAACGCACUUGGUAUGGAGCUGACCCUGGACCAGAAGAAGCAGCGCACCUGCAUUAUUGCAAUUACAACCCUCGAGUCCUUCGAGACCCAUGGGCUUGUCAUGCGCAACCACAAGAGCCAACAGAGGAGACAUGGCCGGAGAGCCAAGAUCACCAGUGGACAAACCCGCCUUUUCAUACGGGCAGGUACUCCACUGAUCCAUAUGGAGCUUCAGGAUCCAGACCUCCACCCCAAUUUGAUGCACGACGAUACUCCGACGCCUCCUACGCCUUCACAAAUGACUACUAUCAAGAGGCCGGUGCUUUCUUCACUCGUACCGACAACACCCUCCUCGACAUCCAGAACACGCAAGUAGAACAUGGAAGACUCCUGGAAGAGCAACAAAAAUGGAACCAGGACCAUGCCGCUGCAGUAGAAGAGCUGAGACAAGAUACAACAACAAUGAACGACAACAUCACAACCAUGAUGCGGUUCUGGAACAUCGGGUAAGACCGACGGCAACAUCCAGCUUGGGGGAGUUCCUCCCAAAUUUAUCAAGUAAGUUUUUAUUUGCUCUUCUUAUUUAUUCUAUUCUAUUUUAGUAUUUUAUCUUAAAAGUAAAAAACUUAGAAAACCAAAUAAAUAUUUUCUUGCUUUAAUUUACUGCACUUUAUAAACAUGAAAACAAAAUAAAAAGAGUGUGUAGAUAAGUGUGUUUUAUUUUUUUACUAAGUAUAAUCUCUAGAAAAAAUAAAAAGACCAAAAAUAUGCAUGAUGGAAAUGAUGAACAGUUGCUCUGUUUGCUUACUUACAAGUACCUAGCUUUUAUAUUAGAAUUCUUCCAGGAAUUACUAAAACUAAAAUUACUAUCUUUGGGAAGCAUAAAACUAAAGUCUAGGUGAGAGAAAGGCAUGAUAUAAAGUUGAGCCACUGUUUAUCUUGUUCCUACUACACUAAGUUCUGGAGAUUUAUUUUGAAAACUUACAAAUCACAUGAUGAGUUCCUAGCAUAACAAACUACCUACCACAGCCAUACUUGCUAUAAGAUCUUUUACUAUAUUUACAUUGAGUUUGAUCGAGCUGUGUCGACCCUUAGGAGCUUUUCAUGUGGUUAAAUUAAGAUAUUCACUUGCACACAUCUACCACAGCAUCCACCACCAUUCAUUAAAAUUGUUAAAAAUAUUAUCACUCACUGUCCCAAGUAUUGUUAUUCUCUCUCUCUAAAAAAAUUCAAUGCAGAAGAGGCAUGGGUUAUGCAAAAAUAUACGAGGAAAUAAAACGGGGCAAGUGCCCGGAAACCUCGGGAAAAGAAAGAAAAAGAGUGAGACGAGAGGUAAAAAUGGACAAGUGUCCGAAGUAGAAUUAGGGGUACAAAGAUGCCCACUUGAGCGGAAAAAAUAGACAAGUGUCCGACAGUAGAAUUAGGGGUAUCUACUACCCACCUGAAAAAAAAAGAAAGAGAAAAGAAAAGAAAAAGAUAGCCCAUGUUCUCCCAAGGCAAAGAUCAAAGAAGAGGAGAGAUAGCAAUAUAAGGAGCAAUGAGAACUAAAUUUUAUUAUUAUCACUUAUGCAUUUUCACCAUCACUAUCAUUUACUCCAUCACACAUGCACAUCUUGAUUUAAUUAUAUGCUGAGUUCCUUUGGAUCCAUGGCUCGAUUAGACAACAUAUGUAUGAGCUGUUUUUCACUCCUAUGAGCUCCACUUAAAUAUUCCAUUAGCUAUAGGUAAGUGACAUCAUGGUAAGGAUCCACAAAUACCACAUAUAGAGAGACUUAAGAGAUUAUUGCUGGGAACUCUGAGUUUUAUUUUGAAAACUUAUUAAAAAACUCUAGAACAAAGGUGAAGUAUAGACAGGAGGGAUAGUACUUGACUUAACUAUUUUGUCUUUUGAUUACUUAAGACUUAAGUGCAGGUACUAAACUUCAUAACACUUCACUUUAAUCUGGACGAAUUUUUAUGUAAAAGCAUGUGUGCCUGUCAGGAAAGAAAACAUCGAAGCAACUUCUGAUUCGUCUGAGUUUAGUUAUUUGCUCAGGGACGAGCAAAAGGUAAGCUUGGGGGAGUU
rnacentral:lncRNA from 1 species